AUGCUUAACACAUGCAAGUCGAACGGUAACAGAUAAGAUGAUCUCUUCGGAGUGAAUCUUUGCUGACGAGUGGCGGACGGGUGAGUAAUGCUUGGGAAUCUGCCCAAUAGUGGGGGAAAACGCGGGGAAACCCGGGCUAAUACCGCAUAAUCUCUACGGAGGAAAGAGGGCCUCUACAUGUAAGCUCUCGCUAAUGGAUGAGCCCAAGUCAGAUUAGCUAGUUGGUAAGGUAAUGGCUUACCAAGGCUACGAUCUGUAGCUGGUCUGAGAGGAUGAUCAGCCACACUGGGACUGAGACACGGCCCAGACUCCUACGGGAGGCAGCAGUGGGGAAUAUUGCACAAUGGGCGCAAGCCUGAUGCAGCAAUGCCGCGUGUGUGAAGAAGGCUCUAGGGUUGUAAAGCACUUUCAAUAGAGAAGAAAAGCUUGAAAUUAAUACUUUCAAGCCUUGACGUAAUCUAUACAAGAAGCACCGGCUAAUUCCGUGCCAGCAGCCGCGGUAAUACGGGAGGUGCGAGCGUUAAUCGGAAUUACUGGGCGUAAAGCGAGCGUAGGCUGUUAAUUAAGUCGAAUGUGAAAUCCCCGGGCUCAACCUGGGAACUGCAUUCGAAACUAUUUAACUAGAGUAUGGGAGAGGAAAGUAGAAUUUCCGGUGUAGCGGUGAAAUGCGUAGAUAUCGGAAGGAACACCAGUGG
rnacentral:rRNA from 1 species